rnacentral:tRNA from 1 species
GCGGGUGUAGUUCAAUGGUAGAACAUCAGCUUCCCAAGCUGAAUACCGGGGUUCGAUUCCCCGUACCCGCUCCA